CGAACGCUGGCGGCAGGCCUAACACAUGCAAGUCGAGCGAGACCUUCGGGUCUAGCGGCGGACGGGUGAGUAACGCGUGGGCAACCUGCCCUGUAUAAAGGGAUAGCCACUGGAAACGGUGAUUAAUACCUUAUAAGACUACAGAAACACAUGUUUCAGUAGCCAAAGCUCCGGCGAUACAGGAUGGGCCCGCGUUUGAUUAGCUAGUUGGUGAGGUAAUGGCUCACCAAGGCGACGAUCAAUAGCCGACCUGAGAGGGUGAUC
rnacentral:rRNA from 1 species